rnacentral:lncRNA from 1 species
GGCCAGGUCAUCUCACAUUCUUUCCUGUACAGCGAUCUGUUGUUCCUGGCUUUCUAGAACUCCUUCCUGAGCCUAUGGAGACCAAGCAGGGAAACAGCUCUGCCGCCCCGCUUGGCCCUGCGAGCCCCCUGAGGUCUCAGAAAAUAGGGCAACCAGAAAUGGAAAACAAAUCUCGCCAAUCAGGAGGUGUGCUGCUCUCCCCACGCUGGUGCUCAGAGACCCACUGGACGGCAGCAGGGCCUCCCCCAUCAGAAAGUAUUAAUGAAUAUUCACAGGAUUCAUUAAACAUUUCCCCGCGUGGCUGAGCAAAACAGUGCAGAAACCCCCAAGCCAUUAACCAAAAAAAAAAAAAAAAAAAAAAAAAAAAGGACCGAGAAAUAUUACAGGGGCUGGGGAGCCUCCGGUGAGAAAUUGAUUUUUACUGUUGAAACUCAACCUAGUUGCAUGGUUGCGCUGGUGUUUCCGAGGGGUCUGUGUCCAGGGUCUCCAUGACUCUGAACAGCCAGUCCUAUUUGUGGAAGCUCUCUUUCAGGUAGUCGCAGACACACACUACGGUGCCAGAGCCACAGCCAUGUUCACGUGACACUUCUGAGAGUUGAGGGUUUCUCUAGGAACCCCCUUGUUGGAUGUUCUUGGUUAAUCGGUAGUACCAGUACUGUGUGACCCCACUUGACAUAAGGAAACUGAGGCAUGUGGUUACUGGCGCACUGUCCCAGAGUCAUUGUACUGAGAACAGACCAAUUUGUUCUUGAUGCUUUGAUUGGCCGAGAGGCCUCCAACAACCACAGUGGGGCAGUCCAGCAUGGGCCCAUCCCCCAAGUGAAAGCCCAGUAUAAGAGUACAGUAGGUACAGGCCAUCAGAGGAGCCUCUGGGCUCCUCUCUGUGAGUGCAAGUCUAUAAGGAACCCAGGAAACAGAAAGCUGUGUGCAGAGUGAACCCCUCUCAU